GUCUGUUACAGUCAAAACCAAGAUGAUGGGGAGGAGGAGGAAGAAGAAGAAAAUGAACAGUCAUAUGAAAUAUUGUCACAAUGUUUUGCCUCUCAUCGACUCAGAUCAGCCAGAUCAGUUUCUUCUGUAGAUUAAAGCUGCGUCUUCCCGCUCGUCGUGUGAUCCCAGACGCACUCCGUCAUGUCCGUCUGCUGCAGGACUCACUCCCUCGGUCUUGUCAAAGCAGAUCAGUUCUUCGGGACCGGACGGACGUUCGGGUUGGUCGUCGUGCUGCAGAGUGAAUUUGGGACUGAUCCGACACCUGAACCACUUCUUCACCGUCUCCUGUACCGCUUUACUUGAAAGCUGGGGCUACUUAUUCGUCAAUAAUGUCAUUUUUUUCAUUCAACUGUUAUAUCCGUCUUAUUCCAUUUGAGCUUUUUAUUUGAUCAGUGUCACUCUUUCUUAAUCUUGUUUUUUUCCUUUAGAGAGCAUUGUCUAUUUGUUUUCUUCCUCCAUCGACUGAAAUUAUGUUCUAAAGUUGAAAUGGACACAUGUAAGACACACGCACAGAUUAUUUCAAAAUGUGCACAAGGAAUAUUGUUCAUAACAUAUUAUAAACAAUGAACUCAGGUGUCAGUCACAGCACAUUGCAGUUUAGUUCAGUCUUCGCAGAUCAAAAAACAUAGUCCAAACUUUUUGAAGAACAUCUCAUGUUUUUCAAGUCACCGGAGUAGAAAUAAAACCUACUUUGGUACAGAACCAGUUUCAGUUCAACACAAUCGCUUUAAAACCUCAAUAGUUAGUGAAAUAUUUUCACUAUUUCAAUAAUAGUGAAAAUUAUCCACAUCACGACACAAACAAAACCAUUCAAUCACCACAGACAUUAGAAUUAGAUAAAAUUAACAAUAUCGUGACAGCAUAGUGAUGGAUUGUUUUGAAUGUUUAUUCAAUAAAUAAUUUUCAGAAAUACAGAAUUGCAAAUGUGACUGUGUUGCAGAAAUUAAAAGGCACUUAAAAACAAUGGUGACAGGUGUGACCUUUUUCUUCUUCUAAUUCUUUA